rnacentral:snoRNA from 1 species
ACGGCCUCUUCGAAGAUCCUUAUACCUUUUUCUCGGUGGUAUAAUGAUUCAAAGCGAGGCCUAAAGCGACAUUCACGACUAAUUUGGCUUCUUCUCUUACAGUAUUCACAAGGAAAAAUAUAGUAAUACGCUAUGGGAGUCGAAACUGGUAACGUUAUAUUACUGGCUGAUAAUUAGUUU